AGUGAACGCUGGCGGUAGGCCUAACACAUGCAAGUCGAACGGCAGCACAGUAAGAGCUUGCUCUUACGGGUGGCGAGUGGCGGACGGGUGAGGAAUACAUCGGAAUCUACUUUUUCGUGGGGGAUAACGUAGGGAAACUUACGCUAAUACCGCAUACGACCUACGGGUGAAAGCAGGGGAUCUUCGGACCUUGCGCGAUUGAAUGAGCCGAUGUCGGAUUAGCUAGUUGGCGGGGUAAAGGCCCACCAAGGCGACGAUCCGUAGCUGGUCUGAGAGGAUGAUCAGCCACACUGGAACUGAGACACGGUCCAGACUCCUACGGGAGGCAACAGUGGGGAAUAUUGGACAAUGGGCGCAAGCCUGAUCCAGCAUACCGCGUGGGUGAAGAAGGCCUUCGGGUUGUAAAGCCCUUUUGUUGGGAAAGAAAAGCAGCAGGUUAAUACCCCGCUGUUCUGACGGUACCCAAAGAAUAAGCACCGGCUAACUUCGUG
rnacentral:rRNA from 1 species